GUCCUUAAGGGUUUAUUGGAAAUUAGCAAAUGUUGUGCCCAUUCACAACAAAGGUAGUAAGGAGGAAUCUGGGAACUAUAGGCCAGUAAGCCUGACAUCAAUAGUGGGUAAAUUAAUGGAAACCAUACUAAAGGAGAGGAUUGUGAAACAUCUAAAAUCCCAUAGAUUGAAAGAUGAAAAACAGCAUGGGUUUAC